rnacentral:rRNA from 1 species
UGGGGAAUAUUGCACAAUGGACGGAAGUUUGAUGCAGCGACGCCGCGUGGAGGGUGUAGGCCUUCGGGUUGUGAACUCCUUUUUCUCGCGAAAAAGGCUCAGUUGUGGCUGUGCUGAUGGUAGUGGGGGAAGAAGCGCCGGCUAACUACGUGCCAGCAGCCGCGGUAAUACGUAGGGCGCGAGUGUUGUCCGGAUCUUUUUGUCGUAAAGAGCUUGUAGGUGGGUCGUCGCGUCGGUCGUGAAAGCAAGCAGCUUAACUGUUGGUCUGCGAUGGGUACGGGCGGGCUUGGGUGCGGUAUGGGAGACUGGAAUUCCUGGUGUUGCGGUGGAAUGCGCAGAUAUCAGGAGGGUCACCGAUGGCGAAGGCAGGUCACUGGGCCGUUACUGACACAGAGGGGCGAAAGCGUGGGGAGCGAACAGG